GAUGAACGCUGGCGGCGUGCCUCACACAUGCAAGUCGAGCGAUUCUCUUCGGAGAAGAGCGGCGGACGGGUGAGUAACGCGUGGGUAACCUGCCCUGUACACACGGAUAACAUACCGAAAGGUAUGCUAAUACGAGAUAAUAUGCUUUUAUCGCAUGGUAGAAGUAUCAAAGCUCCGGCGGUACAGGAUGGACCCGCGUCUGAUUAGCUAGUUGGUAAGGUAAAGGCUUACCAAGGCGACGAGCAGUAGCCGACCUGAGAGGGUGAUCGGCCACAUGGGAACUGAGACACUGUCCAAACUCCUACGGGAGGCAGCAGUGGGGAAUAUUGCACAAUGGGCGAAAGCCUGAUGCAGCACCGCCGCGUGAGCGAUGAAGGCCUUCGGGUCGUAAAGCUCUGUCCUCAAGGAAGAUAAUGACGGUACUUGAGGAGGAAGCUCCGGCUAACUACGUGCCAGCCGCCGCCGUAA
rnacentral:rRNA from 1 species